rnacentral:rRNA from 1 species
UACGUAGGUGGCAAGCGUUGUCCGGAAUUAUUGGGCGUAAAGCGCGCGCAGGCGGUCCCUUAAGUCUGAUGUGAAAGCCCACGGCUCAACCGUGGAGGGUCAUUGGAAACUGGGGGACUUGAGUACAGAAGAGGAAAGCGGAAUUCCACGUGUAGCGGUGAAAUGCGUAGAGAUGUGGAGGAACACCAGUGGCGAAGGCGGCUCUCUGGAACGCAACUGACGCUGAGACGCGAAAGCGUGGGGAGCAAACAGG